rnacentral:rRNA from 1 species
UACGUAGGAGACGAGCGUUGUCCGGAGUUACUGGGCGUAAAGCGCACGUAGGCGGCGCCGUAAGUCAGGGGUGAAAUCCCGGAGCUCAACUCCGGAACUGCCCUUGAAACUGCAGUGCUAGAAUCUUGGAGAGGCGAGUGGAAUUCCGAGUGUAGAGGUGAAAUUCGUAGAUAUUCGGAAGAACACCAGUGGCGAAGGCGGCUCACUGGCCCGGUACUGACGCUGAGGCGCGAAAGCGUGGGGAGCAAACAGG